rnacentral:rRNA from 1 species
GUGUCAGCAGCCGCGGUAAUACGAAGGGGGCUAGCGUUGUUCGGAAUUACUGGGCGUAAAGCGCACGUAGGCGGAUCUGUAAGUAGGGGGUGAAAUCCCCGGGCUCAACCCGGGAACUGCCUUCUAGACUGCAAGUCUUGAGAUCAGGAGAGGCGAGUGGAAUUCCGAGUGUAGAGGUGAAAUUCGUAGAUAUUCGGAGGAACACCAGUGGCGAAGGCGACUCGCUGGACUGAUACUGACGCUGAGGUGCGAAAGCGUGGGGAGCAAACAGGAUUAGAAACCCUUGUAGUCC